AUUUUCCGCAAUGGGCGAAAGCCUGACGGAGCAACGCCGCGUGAGGGAUGAAGGCCUCUGGGCUGUAAACCUCUUUUAUCAAGGAAGAAGAUCUGACGGUACUUGAGGAAUAAGCCACGGCUAAUUCCGUGCCAGCAGCCGCGGUAAUACGGGAGUGGCAAGCGUUAUCCGGAAUUAUUGGGCGUAAAGCGUCCGCAGGCGGCCCUUAAAGUCUGCUGUUAAAAAGUGGAGCUUAACUCCAUCAUGGCAGUGGAAACUGUUGGGCUUGAGUAUGGUAGAGGCAGAGGGAAUUCCCGGUGUAGCGGUGAAAUGCGUAGAUAUCGGGAAGAACACCAGUGGCGAAGGCGCUCUGCUGGGCUUCAACUGACACUGAGAGACGAAAGCUAGGGUAGCGAAAGGGAUUAGAUACCCCUGUAGUC
rnacentral:rRNA from 1 species